rnacentral:rRNA from 1 species
UGAUCCUUUCUGGACUGACGAUAGCGAAGGCACCUUACGAGAACGGAUCUGACAGUCAGGGAUGAAGGCUAGGGGCGCAAAACGGAUUAGAUACCCGUGUAGUCCUAGCAGUAAACACUGCACACUAAACAUCGGUACCUCCUCGAGAGGUAUCGGUGCUGUAGGGAAGCCGUAGAGUGUGCUACCUGGGAAGUAUAGGCGCAAGCCCGAAACUUAAAGGAAUAGGCGGCGGGAUACUACAACCAGUGACGCGUGCGGUUCAAUUAGAUUCUACACCGUGAACCUCACCAGGAUCGACAGCAGAAUGAAGGUCAGUCUGAAGGGCUUACCUGACACGCUGAGAGGAGAUGCAUGGCCGACGUCAGCCUGUGUCGUGAGAUGAUCUGUUAAAUCAGGUAACAGGCGAGACCCGUGUCUUUAUUUGCACGAACAAUAGAGAGACUGCCUUGGUAACAAGGAGGAAGGUGCGGGCCACGUUAGGUGAGUACAUCCCGAAUACCCUGGGCUACACGCGCGCGGCAAUGCUGCAUUCAAAGGGCUGCGACCCCGAGAGGGGAAGCUAAUCUCAUAAACUGCAGCUUAGUUCAGAUCGAGGAUUGCAACUCAUCCUCGUGACGCUGGAAUUGGUAGUAAUUGGAUCUUAUCAGGGUCCAGUGAAUAAGUCAAUGUCCCGUGCUCUCACCGAAAUUAAUGUGCCGAGCAGCUAAUCAAUCUAAGUGGUGAAAAUCCACUCCUCUUCUAGACUAGAAGAGCGUAGCA